GGGGAAUAUUGCACAAUGGGCGCAAGCCUGAUGCAGCGACGCCGCGUGAGGGAUGGAGGCCUUCGGGUUGUAAACCUCUUUUAUCGGGGAGCAAGCGAGAGUGAGUUUACCCGUUGAAUAAGCACCGGCUAACUACGUGCCAGCAGCCGCGGUAAUACGUAGGGUGCAAGCGUUAUCCGGAAUUAUUGGGCGUAAAGGGCUCGGAGGCGGUUCGUCGCGUCCGGUGUGAAAGUCCAUCGGUUAACGGUGGAUCCGCGCCGGGUACGGGCGGGCUUGAGUGCGGUAGGGGAGACUGGAAUUCCCGGUGUAACGGUGGAAUGUGUAGAUAUCGGGAAGAACACCAAUGGCGAAGGCAGGUCUCUGGGCCGUUACUGACGCUGAGGAGCGAAAGCGUGGGGAGCGAAC
rnacentral:rRNA from 1 species